CCCGCGAGGGAGUGGAUGAAGGAAGUCCAAGACGAAACUCGGAGGACACGAACAGGAAAUGGAUACAAGGCCUACCUGCGGGCAAGUCGGCAUUACACGACAAAGCCCCAACCCUAACCGUAGCAGGGUGGUAAAUCCAUGUCCCGCCGGGAGAAAGAUGG
rnacentral:ncRNA from 1 species